rnacentral:rRNA from 1 species
CAGCAGCCACGGUAAAACAGAGGGUGCAAGCGUUAAUCGGAAUUACUGGGCGUAAAGCGCGCGUAGGUGGUUUGUUAAGUUGGAUGUGAAAUCCCCGGGCUCAACCUGGGAACUGCAUCCAAAACUGGCAAGCUAGAGUAUGGUAGAGGGUGGUGGAAUUUCCUGUGUAGCGGUGAAAUGCGUAGAUAUAGGAAGGAACACCAGUGGCGAAGGCGACCACCUGGACUGAUACUGACACUGAGGUGCGAAAGCGUGGGGAGCAAACAGGAUUAGAUACCCCAGUAGUCCCUGUCUCUUAUAC